rnacentral:rRNA from 1 species
CAAAGAUCCCUUCGGGGUGAUUUGUUGGAUGCUAGCGGCGGAUGGGUGAGUAACACGUGGGCAAUCUGCCCUAAAGACUGGGAUACCACUUGGAAACAGGUGCUAAUACCGGAUAACAACAUGAAUCGCAUGAUUCAAGUUUGAAAGGCGGCGYAAGCUGUCACUUUAGGAUGAGCCCGCGGCGCAUUAGCUAGUUGGUGGGGUAAAGGCCUACCAAGGCAAUGAUGCGUAGCCGAGUUGAGAGACUGAUCGGCCACAUUGGGACUGAGACACGGCCNNAACUCCUACGGGAGGCAGCAGUAGGGAAUCUUCCACAAUGGACGCAAGUCUGAUGGAGCAACGCCGCGUGAGUGAAGAAGGUCUUCGGAUCGUAAAGCUCUGUUGUUGGUGAAGAAGGAUAGAGGCAGUAACUGGUCUUUAUUUGACGGUAAUCAACCAGAAAGUCACGGCUAACUACGUGCCAGCAGCCGCGGUAAUACGUAGGUGGCAAGCGUUGUCCGGAUUUAUUGGGCGUAAAGCGAGCGCAGGCGGAAUGAUAAGUCUGAUGUGAAAGCCNACGGCUYAACCGUGGAACUGCAUCGGAAACUGUCAUUCUUGAGUGCAGAAGAGGAGAGUGGAACUCCAUGUGUAGCGGUGGAAUGCGUAGAUAUAUGGAAGAACACCAGUGGCGAAGGCGGCUCUCUGGUCUGCAACUGACGCUGAGGCUCGAAAGCAUGGGUAGCGAACAGGAUUAGAUACCCUGGUAGUCCAUGCCGUAAACGAUGAGCGCUAGGUGUUGGGGACUUUCCAGUCCUCAGUGCCGCAGCAAACGCAUUAAGCNNUCCGCCUGGGGAGUACGACCGCAAGGUUGAAACUCAAAGGAAUUGACGGGGGCCNGCACAAGCGGUGGAGCAUGUGGUUUAAUUCGAAGNAACGCGAAGAACCUUACCAGGUCUUGACAUCCUGCGCUACACCUAGAGAUAGGUNGUUCCCUUCGGGGACGCAGAGACAGGUGGUGCAUGGCUGUCGUCAGCUCGUGUCGUGAGAUGUUGGGUUAAGUCCCGCAACGAGCGCAACCCUUGUCUUUAGUUGCCAUCAUUAAGUUGGGCACUCUAAAGAGACUGCCGGUGACAAACCGGAGGAAGGUGGGGAUGACGUCAAGUCAUCAUGCCCCUUAUGACCUGGGCUACACACGUGCUACAAUGGGCAGUACAACGAGAAGCGAACCCGCGAGGGUAAGCG